GUUCUGAUUUGUCCUGGCUAAAAAGGCACAGGAUAGCUUGUCCAAAUAGGAAAAGAUUGUUGAGUAUAUUUGCUUCUAAACUAUCCCUUACCCUGGAAUCAUCUAGAAUCCUGCAUUGUGGGGCGCUCCACCCGCCCUACACCCUGCCGUUUGCGCGUGCACACACACACACACACACACACACACACACACACACACACACACACACACACACACACACACACACUACAAAACAGCACGGCAGACCAGUCCUCCACCAUCUUAGUACAUACCGAUCAUCAUUUUGAUUUUCGUUUUUUUUCUAUCUCUGUCUUUUUCAUACUUCCUCUUUCCCUCCCUCUCUCUGUCCCACCACCUUCUCCACCGUGCGACUAGCGUUGGGCUUUUCCCAUUUGUGGCAGAUUACUAUAACACUAUUGUAAAACAACUUCCUGCCUCUUUUGGCUCUGGUUCCAAAUAACGGCAAAGGCUGGGCUCACACGCUUGAACUUUUUCCCCCCUCUCUGUCCCGAAGUAUCAGGAGCUCUAAAUAGGGAAGACAGAAAAGGGAAAAACGGUCAAAUCUCUGCACGUCUCCUGUUCUGGACUUAUUUUGAUGCCUUAUGUCUUUAAUGCCAGAUGAAAGUAUAGCAGGGGAUUGCAUGCCUAGCAGAGAAAAAGGAAUAUCAUCCCAAGGCCUCUCUAAAGCUGAAUGAAAUGGUGCCUCUCAAAAGGCUGAUUUGAGGACCUUUUUUACUGAAU
ensembl:lncRNA